UACAAUGGUAAUGGCAACUGCAGGCCUCA
rnacentral:piRNA from 1 species